rnacentral:misc_RNA from 1 species
GAAAUGCGAUAAGUAGUGUGAAUUGCAGAAUUCAGUGAAUCAUCGAAUCUUUGAACGCACAUUGCGCCCCUUGGUAUUCCAUGGGGCAUGCCUGUUCGAGCGUCAUUUGUACCCUCAAGCUCUGCUUGGUGUUGGGUGUUUGUCCCGUCUCCGCGCGUGGACUCGCCCCUAAGUGAUUGGCAGCCGGCGUACUGGUCCCGGAGCGCAGCACAUGUCGCGCAAACGAGUGCCUUGGUACGGCGGCGUCCAUAAGCCCCUCUCUCACGCUCUUGACCUCGGAUCAGGUAGGGAUACCCGCUGAACUUAAGC